AGUGAACGCUGGCGGUAGGCCUAACACAUGCAAGUCGAACGGCGGCACAGGAGAGCUUGCUCUCUGGGUGGCGAGUGGCGGACGGGUGAGGAAUACAUCGGAAUCUACUCUGUCGUGGGGGAUAACGUAGGGAAACUUACGCUAAUACCGCAUACGACCUACGGGUGAAAGCAGGGGACCUUCGGGCCUUGCGCGAUUGAAUGAGCCGAUGUCGGAUUAGCUAGUUGGCGGGGUAAAGGCCCACCAAGGCGACGAUCCGUAGCUGGUCUGGGAGGAUGAUCAGCCACACUGGAACUGAGAAACGGGCCAGACGCCUACGGGAGGCAGCAGUGGGGAAUAUUGGACAAUGGGCGCAAGCCUGAUCCAGCCAUACCGCGUGGGUGAAGAAGGCCUUCGGGUUGUAAAGCCCUUUUGUUGGGAAAGAAAUCCAGCUGGCUAAUACCCGGUUGGGAUGACGGUACCCAAAGAAUAAGCACCGGCUAACUUCGUGCCAGCAGCCGCCGUAA
rnacentral:rRNA from 1 species